rnacentral:tRNA from 1 species
GCGCCCGUAGCUCAGCAGGAUAGAGCACCAGAUUCCUAAUCUGGGGGCCGCAGGUUCGAAUCCUGCCGGGCGCACCA